ACCGGUCUCUGCGUGAAGAGCCAAAAACUCACGUGGGUUCAGCCAGACGAAAGAAGUCAGAGGCUUAGGGGAACGAGCAACCCCUUAAAGGUAAUCAGACAAAAGUUGUCCCAAAGACGCCACUUUCCUCCCCUUACCGACCCAUGCCUAUCUGAAUCAUUACAUUCAGCCUCAACUAUUCAGCUACAAAGCCGUACUCAGUACCAGAGCUUUGGCACAGAAUAAAAACCCAUUAUAGAUGUUUGCAAAGUGAGAGGAAAUAUGGUGUAAUAGAA